GUGGGGAAUAUUGGACAAUGGGCGCAAGCCUGAUCCAGCCAUGCCGCGUGUGUGAAGAAGGCCUUCGGGUUGUAAAGCACUUUUGUCCGGGAAGAAAUCUUCCAGGUUAAUACCCUGGGAGGCUGACGGUACCGGAAGAAUAAGCACCGGCUAACUUCGUGCCAGCAGCCGCGGUAAUACGAAGGGUGCAAGCGUUACUCGGAAUUACUGGGCGUAAAGCGUGCGUAGGCGGUUCGUUAAGUCUGCCGUGAAAGCCCCGGGCUCAACCUGGGAAUGGCGGUGGAUACUGGCUGGCUAGAGUGCGGUAGAGGGUGGUGGAAUUCCCGGUGUAGCAGUGAAAUGCGUAGAGAUCGGGAGGAACAUCUGUGGCGAAGGCGGCCACCUGGACCAGCACUGACACUGAGGCACGAAAGCGUGGGGAGCAAACAGGAUUAGAAACCCCUGUAGUCC
rnacentral:rRNA from 1 species